AGACAGCAGGACGGUGGCCAUGGAAGUCGGAAUCCGCCAAGGAGUGUGUAACAACUCACCUGCCGAAUCAACUAGCCCCGAAAAUGGAUGGCGCUGAAGCGCGCGACCUAUACUCGGCCGUCGAAGCAAUUUCUAGGCCUCGAUGAGUAGGAGGACGCGGGGGUCGUUGAGAAACCUUGGGUGCGAGCCUGGGUGGACCGGCCCCCGGUGCAGAUCUUGGUGGUAGUAGCAAAUA
rnacentral:rRNA from 1 species